rnacentral:tRNA from 1 species
UGCCCAGAGAUGGGAAUCGAACCCACAGUGUUCCGCUUACCGGGCAGAUGCCAUGUCCACUAAGCUACCCUGGAC